CACGUAGGGCGCAAGCGUUGUCCGGAAUUAUUGGGCGUAAAGAGCUCGUAGGCGGACUGUCACGUCUGCUGUGAAAAGCUGGGGCUUAACCCUGGCCUUGCAGUGGAUACGGGCAGACUAGAGGUAGGUAGGGGAGAAUGGAAUUCCCGGUGUAGCGGUGAAAUGCGCAGAUAUCGGGAGGAACACCGGUGGCGAAGGCGGUUCUCUGGGCCUUACCUGACGCUGAGGAGCGAAAGCGUGGGGAUCAAACAGG
rnacentral:rRNA from 1 species